UAUUUCUCUGUAUCUGCAUUAGGCCCAAGAUCGAGUCGAAGGUCUCCAAGCUUGCCCGAGUUUCCUGUUAAGGUCUGCCAUUAUUUUAACAAAGGCUUUUGUAAGCAUGGAACCAACUGUCGGUACUUUCACGGCCAUCCAAAUCCGGAAAGCUUCUCCCAAGUCUUCAACUCAAACUUAAAUGAAAUGGGAAGUGAUGAACAUAUCUUCAAGCCUGGAUCUCUAGAGAAAAUAGAGAUGGAACUUACCGAGCUUCUCAAAUCUAGACGGGGUCUUCCUGUUUCAAUUGCUUCGUUGCCUAUGUUGUACUAUGAGAAGUAUGGGAGGACACUUCAGGCUGAGGGUUAUUUGACCGAAAGUCAAAGACAUGGGAAAGCUGGAUAUAGCCUGACUAAGCUCCUCGCUCGAUUAAGAAAUAGCAUUCGUGUCAUCGACAGGUCCAACUUGUAUAGUUCUCGCCUUUGGUGGAUUAUGUUCUUUGACAUAGACUUUAUUUGAUAUAAAUGUUUGUAUUUGAGACAGGCCCCAUGGACAGCAUGCCGUUAUUUUAGCUGAGGAUGUUCCAAAAUAUAUGGAGUACAGUGGCGAAAGAAAUGAACACGGAGCAAUUGUAGCCGGUUCUCGCCAGAUUUAUCUGACCUUUCCGGCUGAGAGUACCUUCAGCGAGCAAGAUGUUUCCAACUAUUUCAAGUAAGUUACUCCAAGUGAAUUGACAUCUACGAUUAGUAGCUGUUUUCCGUCUUCACAACUUAUUAGAGCCUUCUCAUGUUUAUGCAGUCAAUUUGGACCAGUACAAGAUGUUAGGAUUCCUUGUCAGCAGAAGAGAAUGUUUGGGUUUGUAACUUUUGUUUUCCCAGAGACAGUUAAGCAGAUCCUGGCAAAGGGGAAUCCUCAUUUAGUUUGUGGUGCACGUGUUUUGGUGAAACCUUACAGGGAAAAGUCCAAGCUUGUAGAUAGGUAUAUUUCCUGGUUUCUUUUAUUAUGAAGGCUUCUAAUAGUUUAUUUGCAUAUUUGUUAAUUAUAGAUCAAAGAUCCUCAUUUUCAAUGUACCCUACUUAACAUUGUGUGUGGAAUGUUGGGAUGCAAUGAUGUUGCGUUGCUAAUGCCUUUUGUGUUUGUAGUUUAAUGUAUUGAUAUUAGCAGUGAUGGCUCUUUGAAUACUCUCAUUGAUAUGUGAACCUGUAUUUUCAGAUCUGUGGUUGGUUAAAUGGAAUCUCAUUUGUUUCCCUAUCUAACAAUAUUAUCUUCUAUUGAAGAUUACUUCUUCGGGGUAGGGGUAAGGUCUGCGUACACACUACCCUCCCCAGACCCCAUUAGUGGGAUUUUACUGGGUUGUUGUUGUUGUUGAAGAUUAUGAUCAUAAUAAUCUGUCAGACAACUGAGAUACUUGAGGAGCAUUGGCUUAAUUCUUGUCCAAUCUAUUUUAUUUGUUUAUUUUAACUCACCUAGCAUAUUGUUCAGCAAACAUCUUUCAUACAAAUCAAAUUAAUGUUUACACAUUUCCCUCAACUGUUGAUGUCGUGAUUGAGUGAUGCUUCAAAAUAUAUUGUCUUGUGAAAACUUUUCAUUGGAUUGCGUAUAACUUUUUGUAUAGAUUUGCAUUUGAUAUGAUCUUUAUCUUAUCUCUGCAGAAAAUGCCUCGAGAAAGCUUAUCAAGCUUCCUACUAUAAUUCCUCGUUCAUUGACGCAGAAUCCGAACUCCAAUCUUGUAAGAUGCACUUCAACUCAAACAAUCAAAACCUACCUUAUAUUUUGUCAUAGAAGUAAUAAUUUUUAUCGUUUUUUUAGCACCUAGAGUCUGUGAAAAUUCAAGACUAAUGAAAAAACAACUCAUGGAGGAACAAGAGCGUGCAAUUGAGUUUGAGAGGCAGCAUUUUCCAGAGUUGCAAUUAGCUGCAAAAACUUUGCAUCAUCAAAUGCGCCUUGGUUACUCAGUAGAGGAUUUGAAGCUUAGAGAAGGUUCUUUAACAUGUAAUUCUGAAGCAUAUCCUCCCCUAAGAUCCUCGACUAUCCAUCUUUACCUGACAUUGUUCUUUUCUUUGCUUUUCGUGCUUCCUCCUGUAUAGGCCGUAGCGAAAAACUGGAGUUCCCAUCAGCCGAGAGUUUUAAUUACCUGCUAGAUGUAUAUAACAAUGGUUCCACCAGCGAGGACAAAGCUAGGCACGUUAAAAUGAGUCACUGUGACCAAGAAGGGUAAGACAUUUUGAUACUGUCGUUUUGAGUUUUAUGCUCUUUGUAUCAUUUUCUUGAGCCGAGGGUCUAUAGGAAGCAGCCUCUCUACCUUCCCAAGGAAGGGGUAAGGUCUGCGUACAGCCAUACACACUACUCUCCCCAGACCCCACUUGUGGAAUUUCACUAGGUUGUUGUUGUCGUAUGCUCUUUGUGACCAGGAGGUCACUAGUUCGAGCUGUGGAUAUAGCCUCUUGCAGAAUUGCAGGGUAAGGCUGCGUACAAUAGACCCUUGUGGUCCAGCCUUCCCCGUAUUCCACGCAUAGCGGGAGCUUAGUGCAUCGGGCUGCGCUUUAUUGUUGUCGUAUGCGCUUUGUAUCAUUUUGAGUUUGUUGUCGAUAUUUGUUCUUAUUUAAUCAGUUCUUCGGGAUGUUGCAGUGGUCAAGGAUUGAAUCUUCCAGAUAGCCCGUUUGCAUCUCCAAUAAGGAAUGGCAUUUCAACUGUCAUUUAGGUUCAGAAACACAGAAGGAUUAUAGAGUUUAAAGAGGACUGAGUUUUGGAAAGCAGUUCGUUGGUUCGACACAUAAAAGUACUUUUCUUCCUAAAUAUUUCCAUAAAACAGUUACUAUUAAAUAGUUGCUCAACUGCCUGCAAAUACACCUGAUCCUACAGAAAGCGCGAGAAGUUAUUCGUUUUCAUUUUUUAGGUGAACAUCAUAAGAGAAUUACAUAGAAAAAGAAUCGCGACAUGUAACAAGUUUCAUAGGUUUUCAGCUUUGAUAAGAAGUUAAUGAUAGGGAGCAAGUUUGAUGCUUGCUUUGCAGGUUUUAGAAGUUAAAAUGUAAUUAUGGUUUUUUUUCUAAGUGUGAUGGAGAAGAAAAUAGGCUCAGAUUCAGAGUUUGGUGUCCAUUGUAGAGCUCUCUGCUACUUGACAGAAAUGCUAAAUGUUGCUAACAAUAAAGUUAUACAUAGUUUUCAUUUCUAGUCUCUGUUUACUUUCUGAACACAAAUUUGUCAUUUAUAUUUUGGCGUAACCGGUAAAGUUGACUCCAUGUGACCAGAAGGUCAUGAGUUUGAGCCGUGGAAAUAACCUCUUGUAGAAAUGUAGGGUAAGACUGCGUACAAUAGACCCCUGUAGUCAAGCCCUUCCCCAGACCCCGCACAUAGCGGGAGCUUAGUACAUCGGUGAUAUCCGAAUCAGCUUGCAUGCAUAGGUGGUAUUCGAAUCAGCUUGCGUGCACCUCGGGUAAUCCUCUUUGUUUGCUAAAAAUGUAAAUAUAAAGUAGUUGAAUAUGGAUCAUAUAUGUGGUCCUCUACUGCUUGUUCUCUUAGUUGUACAAAAGGGUCCCCAAUAGUAAAGAAAAUGUAUAUUAGACCCUUGAUAUGCGGAACUGAUGCAAGUUGUAUUUUUUUAAAAUUAUAUUUAAUGCCAAAACUAAGUAAAUUGACCAUCUUAGAAAGUUAUUAUUUUGUCGCUUUCAUCCACGUUGAUCUACUUUAUUAUUUAUUGCUUUCACCAUUAUACAACUGAAAAAUAUUGUUUUUUUUUUUUUUGCAAUUUGUGAGAUUGACUUUGAUAAAGUAGUGGUGCUGAAGUGCGACAAUUAUUUAGAUUUGUGGACAUUAUGUGAAUUUUAAUUUUAGAUUUGUAGGACCGACGUAUCUACUAUCUGUUUUUUAAUCUUUUAUACGACACAGAUGUUACAUGUCUAUGGCCAUAAAUGUUUUUGUUCAUACAUUUCUUAGCCACAAACACACUUCAUACUUCAAAAGUAGUUUGAUUCUCUUCGCAUCCACUAGUUUUAUUGAUUUAUAUUUUUUUAAAAUCAAAACUAAGCUCCAUUUGGUAGUUUGUGAGAUAUUUCUUCACUAAAAUAGAAUAGUUUGGAAAUUCAUAGAAUUAUCUAUAAAAUAAUGUAGCAGGAAAUUAAUUUAGGACAAAAGAUAAUAAACAACUUUUGCCAAUUUGGGAUUAAAAAUUAGGAUCUUUUCAUACAUAUGCUAAAUUAUAAAGUUAUUUACCUGAAAUGUGUAAAGUUUGCUAUUUAUCAAAGUAGACUGACUAUAUAUAUAAAUAUAUUUUUUUCACUCUGUUCAUCUGUUCUUUCCAACCUUUUAAAGAUAUAAAUUUUUUCUUAACACAACUUUUUUUUAAACCUCACCAUGGCCGUAGUUAAAUAUAUUUGCCCACUUUAACACCUUUCUGAUAAUAUUUUGGGCUUAUUUUAACUGGUCUCUCCUAGAAAUUUAUAGGUUAAUCCAUCAGAGUUAUUAAGAAGUUGGAAAGAUAACCAUAUACUUAGAGUGAUUUUUUUAGUUAUUUACAAACUAGCAACUAAGAAAUUAAAGAUAUAAGACAUAAUAUAAAAGCUUUAAAUAAAUCGGGGUAAUAAACAGAAAUAUAAUUUAUAAAAACAGUAACUUACAUGUUUACAGGAGAGGGAUUUCCCUUUCGGUAAACUCGAAAGAGUUUACUGGACUUAAAAACUUGCACACUAAAGCAUAAAUCUUUAUUUAUUUUACAUGUUUGAGAUAGAAAAUACUAAAGCAUAUAUAGUGAAAUAUUUUAAAAAGAGAGGUGUGGAGGAUGGUUUUUCUGGUGUAGGUGAAGGGAAUGGUGAAGAGAGUAUGUUUUUCUUCAGAU
rnacentral:lncRNA from 1 species